AUUGAACGCUGGCGGCAGGCCUAACACAUGCAAGUCGCACGAGUGGCGGACGGGUAAGUAAUGUCUGGGAACCUGCCCGAUGGAGGGGGCUAACUACGGAAAACGGUAGCUAAUACCGCAUACCCUCGGAUGUGCCCUGAUGGGAUUAGCUAGUAGGGUGGGUAAUGGCUCACCUAGGCGACGAUCCCUAGCUGGUCUGAGAGGAUGACCAGCCAAACUGGAACUGAGAAACGGUCCAGACUCCUACGGGAGGCAGCAGUGGGGAAUAUUGCACAAUGGGCGCAAGCCUGAUGCAGCCAUGCCGCGUGUAUGAAGAAGGCCUUCGGGUUGUAAAGUACUUUCAGCGGGGAGGCGUUACUCGCAGAAGAAGCACCGGCUAACUCCGUGCCAGCAGCCGCGGUAAUAC
rnacentral:rRNA from 1 species